rnacentral:rRNA from 1 species
AAAAAACAUGGCCUUAUGUUUAAAAAGUUGUAUAUAUAAGGUCUUACCUGCUCGCUGAUAAGUUUUAUUAAAGGGCUGCAGUAUAUUUAACUGUACAAAGGUAGCGUAGUAAUUUGUUUAUUAAUUGUUGACUUGUAUGAAUGGUUUGACGUGAUACUGACUGUCUUCUGGCAUAAUUAUUGUUGAAAUUUACUUUUUAGUGAAGAGGCUAAAAUGUUUCCAAGGGACGAAAAGACCCUAUAGAUUUUUAGUUGUAUUUUAAUGUUAAUGAAUUUAUGUUUAGUUUUUGUUGUUAUUUUAUACUUUUGCUGGGGCGGCUGUUGAAGAUAAGAAUCUUCAGUUUUUGUUGUUGCGAAUUAAUUGUUGUUUGUUGAUCCUGUAUUUAUGG